rnacentral:rRNA from 1 species
UACGAAGGGGGCUAGCGUUGCUCGGAAUCACUGGGCGUAAAGGGUGCGUAGGCGGGUCUUUAAGUCAGGGGUGAAAUCCUGGAGCUCAACUCCAGAACUGCCUUUGAUACUGAGGAUCUUGAGUUCGGGAGAGGUGAGUGGAACUGCGAGUGUAGAGGUGAAAUUCGUAGAUAUUCGCAAGAACACCAGUGGCGAAGGCGGCUCUCUGGGCCCUACCUGACGCUGAGACGCGAAAGCGUGGGGAGCGAACCGG